GGUUAAGCGACUAAGCGUACACGGUGGAUGCCCUGGCAGUCAGAGGCGAUGAAGGACGUGCUAAUCUGCGAAAAGCGCCGGCGAGGUGAUAUGAACCUUUGACCCGGCGAUGUCCGAAUGGGGAAACCCAGUGYRAUUCGUYRCACUAUCGUUAACUGAAUACAUAGGUUAACGAGGCGAACCGGGGGAACUGAAACAUCUAAGUACCCCGAGGAAAAGAAAUCAACCGAGAUUCCCCCAGUAGCGGCGAGCGAACGGGGAGCAGCCCAGAGUCUGAAUCAGCUUGUGUGUUAGUGGAAGCGUCUGGAAAGUCGCACGGUACAGGGUGACAGUCCCGUACACGAAARYRCACAGGCUGUGAACUCGAAGAGUAGGGCGGGACACGUGGUAUCCUGUCUGAAUAUGGGGGGACCAUCCUCCAAGGCUAAAUACUCCUGACUGACCGAUAGUGAACCAGUACCGUGAGGGAAAGGCGAAAAGAACCCCGGCGAGGGGAGUGAAAAAGAACCUGAAACCGUGUACGUACAAGCAGUGGGAGCACCCUAGUGGUGUGACUGCGUACCUUUUGUAUAAUGGGUCAGCGACUUAUAUUCUGUAGCAAGGUUAACCGUAUAGGGG
rnacentral:rRNA from 1 species